UGAGGAAUAUUGGACAAUGGGUUAGCGCCUGAUCCAGCCAUCCCGCGUGAAGGACGACGGCCCUAUGGGUUGUAAACUUCUUUUGUACAGGGAUAAACCUACCCUCGUGAGGGUAGCUGAAGGUACUGUACGAAUAAGCACCGGCUAACUCCGUGCCAGCAGCCGCGGUAAUACGGAGGGUGCAAGCGUUAUCCGGAUUUAUUGGGUUUAAAGGGUCCGUAGGCGGAUGCGUAAGUCAGUGGUGAAAUCUCACAGCUCAACUGUGAAACUGCCAUUGAUACUGCGUGUCUUGAGUGAGGUUGAAGUAGCUGGAAUAAGUAGUGUAGCGGUGAAAUGCAUAGAUAUUACUUAGAACACCAAUUGCGAAGGCAGGUUACUAAGUCUCAACUGACGCUGAUGGACGAAAGCGUGGGGAGCGAACA
rnacentral:rRNA from 1 species